rnacentral:rRNA from 1 species
AUAGGAAGUCAUACCUGCCCAGUGAAAUUUCAACGGCCGCGGUACUCUGACCGUGCAAAGGUAGCAUAAUAAUUUGCCUUAUAAUUGAAGGCUGGAAUGAAUGGUUUGACGAAGGUAAUUCUGUCUCAAUGAGAUUUUAUAGAAAUUUAUUUGUAAUUGAAAAAGAUUAUAUUCUAUUAAAAGACAAGAAGACCCUAUCGAGCUUAAAGUGAUUAAGUAAAUUAGACUAAAUUAACUUAAAUAUAAAUUAAUUAAAGCUUUUAGUUGGGGCAACUAAGAAGCAAUUAAAGCCUUCUCUAAUUAUAAUAAACACUAAGUUGCGAUCCAGAAGAUCUGAUUAAAAGAAAUAGUUACCGUAGGGAUAACAGCAUUAUUUCCUUUUAGAGCUCUAAUCGAAAAGGAAGUUUGUGACCUCGAUGUUGGACCAGAAUACCCCAAAGAUGCAGAAGUCUUUAAAGGUUGGUCUGUUCGACCAUUAAAAUUCUA